GAGUUUGAUCGUGGCUCAGGAUGAACGCUAGCGGCAGGCCUAACACAUGCAAGUCGAGGGGCAGCAUAGAAUUAGCUUGCUAAUUUGGUGGCGACCGGCGCACGGGUGCGUAACGCGUAUGCAACCUACCCUGUACUGAGGGAUAGCCCAGAGAAAUUUGGAUUAACCCCUCAUGGUAUUAUCGGAUCGCAUGAUUUGAUAAUUAAAGGUUACGGUACAGGAUGGGCAUGCGUCCUAUUAGCUAGUUGGUACGGUAACGGCGUACCAAGGCGACGAUAGGUAGGGGGCCUGAGAGGGUGGUCCCCCACACUGGUACUGAGACACGGACCAGACUCCUACGGGAGGCAGCAGUGAGGAAUAUUGGUCAAUGGGCGCAAGCCUGAACCAGCCAUGCCGCGUGCAGGAAGAAUGCCCUAUGGGUUGUAAACUGCUUUUAUUUGGGAAUAACCUCCUUACGUGUAGGGAGCUGAAGGUACCAAAUGAAUAAGCACCGGCUAACUCCGUG
rnacentral:rRNA from 1 species